rnacentral:rRNA from 1 species
UACGUAGGGUGCGAGCGUUGUCCGGAAUUAUUGGGCGUAAAGAGCUCGUAGGCGGUCUGUCGCGUCGGUCGUGAAAACUUGGGGCUUAACCCUGAGCUUGCGGUCGAUACGGGCAUGACUGGAGUUCGGCAGGGGAGACUGGAAUUCCUGGUGUAGCGGUGAAAUGCGCAGAUAUCAGGAGGAACACCGGUGGCGAAGGCGGGUCUCUGGGCCGAUACUGACGCUGAGGAGCAAAAGCGUGGGGAGCGAACAGG